GAUGAAGAACGUAGCGAAAUGCGAUAAGUAAUGUGAAUUGCAGAAUUCAGUGAAUCAUCGAAUCUUUGAACGCUCAUUGCGCCCCCUGGUAUUCCGGGGGGCAUGCCUGUUCGAGCGUCAUUUCACCACUCAAGCCUCGCUUGGUAUUGGGCAUCGCGGUCCGCCGCGCGCCUCAAAUCGACCGGCUGGGUCUUCUGUCCCCUAAGCGUUGUGGAAACUAUUCGCUAAAGGGUGUUCGGGAGGCUACGCCGUAAAACAACCCCAUUUCUAAGGUUGACCUCGGAUCAGGUAGGGAUACCCGCUGAACUUAAGCAUAUCACUAAGCGGAGGA
rnacentral:misc_RNA from 1 species